rnacentral:rRNA from 1 species
UACGGGGGGGGCAAGCGUUGUUCGGAAUUACUGGGCGUAAAGGGCGCGUAGGCGGCCAACUAAGUCAGACGUGAAAUCCCUCGGCUUAACCGGGGAACUGCGUCUGAUACUGGAUGGCUUGAGUUUGGGAGAGGGAUGCGGAAUUCCAGGUGUAGCGGUGAAAUGCGUAGAUAUCUGGAGGAACACCGGUGGCGAAGGCGGCAUCCUGGGCCAACACUGACGCUGAGUGAGCGAAAGCCAGGGGAGCAAACGGG